rnacentral:rRNA from 1 species
AGUGAACGCUGGCGGCGUGCCUAACACAUGCAAGUCGAACGAUGAUGGAGAGCUUGCUCUCCUGAUUAGUGGCGCACGGGUGAGUAUACCAUAGAUAAUGUACCUCUUAGUUCGGGAUAGCCACUGGAAACGGUGAUUAAUACUGGAUACUCCUUCUUGUCUUAAGGCGAGUCGGGAAAGUUUUUUCGCUAAGAGAUCAGUCUAUGUCCUAUCAGCUAGUUGGUGAGGUAAUGGCUCACCAAGGCUAUGACGGGUAUCUGGUUUGAGAGGAUGAUCAGACACACUGGAACUGAGACACGGUCCAGACUCCUACGGGAGGCAGCAGUGAGGAAUAUUGCACAAUGGAGGAAACUCUGAUGCAGCAACGCCGCGUGGAGGAUGACGCAUUUCGGUGUGUAAACUCCUUUUAAGAGGGAAGAUUAUGACGGUACCUCUUGAAUAAGCACCGGCUAACUACGUGCCAGCAGCCGCCGUAA